rnacentral:rRNA from 1 species
AUCAGCCUUUUGGGUGUGAUUUUGUGGAACGUGAGGAGUUAAACGCCUUCAUGCCUGCAUAUUCGUGCACUUUGGGUGUACUUGCCCGUGUGGUUGGUUAACAUCAAUUUUGGUUAUCAAAAAAUGACUGGAGGAAUGUAGCUUCGAUCUCGUAUUGAAGUGUUAUAGCCUUCGGUAGAUGUGAUGAUCGAGAUUGAGGAUUGCAACGGAUACCCUUCGGGGCUACCUGUCUGGUCUCUGAUCGUUGCUCUGGUGCCGAAAGCUUGCUUACGGUUAUCAAAGUCGAUGGUCAAUAGGUUAGAACGGGUUAAAUUCGUUAAGGAUGUUGACGUAAUGGCUUU